GUGCCGCCCCGCUCCAAACUUCGCACCAAUCCCCGGGAGCCCCCGCCCUCCCCGCUCCGCGCCGCCGCUCCCCUUAACCCUUUGCGGGGGCGGCGGAGGGGAGGACGGGCGGCCCGCGGGGCUCCGUCUGCGCCUUGGAGUGGAGGGACCCGUUCCGUAGCCCUUCUGCCCCCUUUAGCCCCACGGCGAUGAAGCCCCGGAGCAACCCACCGCCACCCCUUCUGCCCCUAGCAACCGACCCUGUCCCGUGCAGUGCCCCAGAGCAUCCCCCGAUCCACCCCCUGGAGCCCACGUAGCCCCUAUAAGCUCUGGAGACCCACAACCCCCCCAUACACCCCGGAACCCGACCUUGCCAAAUCACCCCUCUUCCCAGGGCAAGGAGACCCCCGGCUGUGGGAACCCACCCUGGAGGCAUCGAAGGAGAGAUUGGGCUCCUUACAGCUGGGGCAUGCAGGGGACAUGCCAUAGGGAGACAAUGAUACUUAAACAGGCUGAGAGAGUUGGGGUGUUCCACCUAGAGAAGAGCAGGUUCCGGAAAGACCUUAUUGCGGCCUUUCCGUACUUAAAAGGGGCCUAUGAGAAAGAUGGGGACAGACUUUUUAGAAGGGUGUAAUACGGCAAGACAAGGGGUGAUGGUUUUAAACUAAAGGAAGGGAGAUUCAGGCUGGACAUGAGGAAGAAAUUUUUUACACUGAGGGUGGCAAAACACUGGCCCAGGUUGCCCAGAGAGGUGGUGGAUGAACCAUCCCUGGAGACAUCCCAGGCCAGGCUGGACAGGGCUCUGAGCAACCUGAGCUGGUGAAGAUGUCCCUGCUCAUGGCAGGGGUGGCACUGGAUGAGCUUUGAAGGUGCUUUCUAACACAAACUAUUCUAUGAUUCUCUGUUUCUAUUAUUUGGGUGGGUGAGAUCCCACCCCAGCUCUGGCAUUUUGACCUCUCAGCUUGAACGCAAAUCGUGCCAGGAAGAGAGUGAACUGAACUAAACAAACUGGAAAAUAAACUGUGGAGAUGUCUGUUCCUUAGAUUAACUGUUACAAUUAUUUAUUAUUUGUUUUCAAAGGGGACUCAGCUGGUGCAUCUGCUCUUACAGCAAAUUACUCUCCGCACAGGAUAAAAAUCAACCUGGCAGAAUUCACCAAACAGACUAAACAAAUGGCAAGAAAAAAAGCUGCUUCAAUAGCUAUACUUGUAUAUCUGGAAAGAAACACUGUUAUUGAUGUUAUUGUUUAUUAGACCUCUUAUUUUAUACGCUCCAACAUGAAGGUUUCCUUGAAGAUGAAACUGUCUCAAUACCAAUUCAAUGGGAUGGGCACCAGGAGAAGCCUGAAACCCAAGCCAAGUAGUUUGAACAUCCAUUUUAUCCAUUUUGUUAGGAUUAUGAAAUCACACCCUCUGUUAUUAUUAUUAUUACUAAAUAUUUUUACUGAGCGGUUCCUGACAGCAUUAAAUCUUGAUAUACAAAAUCAAUAUGAAAAACAUUCAAGACUAAACAUCUAAACCCCUGAAUUAGAAAGAAACAAAGCAGCUGACAAUACCAUUUUUAUAUUUUACAUAUUUAUUUCAUCAUUUUUAUUAUUAAAGUUCAUUCAUCUGAGAAAUCCCAGAUGGACUGCUCCUCCUAUCAAGCAAUAACUUCAGCCUCAUUGACUUCAAAGACAGUGUUGACUGAGGCAAACCUUAAGGACUUGACCUACAUGGUCAUAUUCAUGCCAUUGAUUCUGAGCAAAUCACUCCAACUUGCACUAGAAUAAGCUCAACCACACACUACAUCUCAAGGCGAGAUGUGUAAAACACCUCUCUGUAACAUUUCCUCGCUAUUUCACCACAAAAGACUCAAGGUCUUUGUCCCAAGGACAUCACCAUCUAAUAUCCGUCCCCAAAACUAUUUACAUGACCUUCUGUUCCCGUUCAGACUGAAAUCCAAAGCAGCCUCAGUUCUGGCUCAGCUGUGGGACGCCUGCCCAUCACGGGUUUCCCAUUGGAUUAGAUGGACCCGACUGACGAGCUCCUGCUCGUUGUCUUGUUUUUGUGGGUCAUGCACUGAGAUCGAGGUUUAGUUCCCAUGCGCACGGUGGCAUUGUCAUCAUAGCAUGCUCGGAGACAUGGGUGAGCUCUGGGCCUGAAUCAGCUCUGGCCUGGAAGAAGGGACAUUCUUCCACCCCAAGCCCAGCACCAAGCAUCCAGCUCAGGUUGGAUACAGGAGAAAAAAAAUCCUCUGAUGCAUCCAAUUCUUCCAUCCUCACUUCCUUACUAAAAAAUCCCACGUGUGCCUUUAUGAGCUCCAACAUCUUCCAGGCUGUGGGCAUUCCUCCUCCCAAUAUACCUGUAAAGCAGCAAAAUGCCUCCUGCAGCAUUUCACCACUGGGAAGUUCUGGGAGAUGGAGGAUUAUAGAGAUGAUAAACAAGAUUUUCCAAAAGCACCCAGGUGCCUAAACACCUUCAGGUCCCCCUUAAGCCUCUGUCUUUAGGCCUUGAGAAGCCUUUUAAGAGUCCGACUCCAAGUGAUGUUGCAAAGGGAUUACGUGGGGCAGGGAAUGGAGCCCACAGCUUCCAUACCCCAGGCUAAAAUAACCAGAAAACAACCCCUACUGACUCCAAAAUGUCUGCACAAUUAUUAUGUUUUUGCAGGGGCCUGGGCGUGCCUGAAAGACAGUCUGAAACCAUGCUGUAGACUUCAUCCAUCUCAUUCCCAAUACAGCAGCGGAGGAAUAAAUGGAAAACAUUGAUACAGCGAAAAUAAUUAAUAAUCCUGAAACAGCUCCUAGUUUAUCAGAAAUAAAAUCUCGUGCUGUUUUCCCAAUACUUCUACCUAAAUAAGGAAACAUGCAGAGCUCUGUUUUUUUUCUGGGCUGGCUGUAAUUUGCAGGAUGAUUGAGUAGUCUGAAAGUCAACAGCCCCAGUUUGCUCCUGCACCCCACGGUCCUGAGACAAGCUGUGGGAAAAUGGCUUUCUGGAGCUGACAAACAAAACUGAAUGCUAAGCAACGAAGUACGUGUCUCCAUGCGGCCUGAGAAGCAGCCUAACAGUCCAUUUGUAUCCCAGUUGUCCCCCAAGCCCCGUUUCCAGGCCGUGGCUUUUCAGGUUUUGCAUAGCUGUGAUGGUCUAGUGAACAUCCAUCCCCAGAACGACUUUCCUCAUGUCUCCAAAACCACGAUUCGGCCUUUUUCCAGCUUUCUUACCUCUAUUCUCUCGGGAGAUACUCACCUCCAUCACUACAGAACUCCGUUUUCCCCAAGUUUUAUCCCUUCCAUCUUGAUUGUGUUGCCUUUUCUUUUCCUCUACAGAUGAUCUGGGAGACACAACACCUCUGGGCCGUAAUUCCUAACCUGCUUCAAUGCUUUUCUCAAACUGCAGGUGUAGCUGCAAGGUUGAAUUCCCCAUCACACCCAGCGCCCCCAGGAUGGAGUGGGGAGCUGAAACCAACACAGUGACUUGGGUUGGCAACGGUGCCUUGCAGGAGCACGAGGCCCCAUGGCACAGCUCCACAGGGACAUGCCGUGGGGACAGAGGCUGUGCGGGACCGGGUGGCUGGAUGCAGCUGACGGAGCACAUGAAGGUGAUGGAAGGGCAUGGCCAGUUUUAGGCACAUUCCCUCCGCCCGCCACCCCGUUUGUGCAGCUCUCCUCAGGUUACCAGGGGGAAAUCAGCCUCCCAGGGUUGGAUCGAGCAUCUGUCGAGGAUGCCAGAGCAAGGGGAUUGCUCUGGACAUGGGGAAAGGAAAGGUAUGCACAAGGAAGGGGUUUGGAUCAAGCAAUACAGAUGAAAGAACACAGAGAAGGUUUUGGAUGCCAAGUCCCAGAUCUCAUCUGUUUUCUCUCUGACUCGUCCCAGUAGGUCUAAGGGAAGAUAUUACCUCUCCCAAAAAAAAUUGCUUCCCUUUCACCUGACGAAUGCAUCACCAUGAUGGCUAUAGCAGGAAUAAACCACCUCUGACAUUCAGCACACUCUUUCCAACCUCCCAGAAGCUGCUGAGAUAUUUAGAUGAGGAAUAUGGUUUAAAAAGAUUAUGGCAGACCAGGUUGCCACUUGUUUGAAAGAGCUAUACACCUUCUGCUUUCUUUAAUUGCAACUCAUUCUUCUUUCCCACAUCCCUUUGCAUCACCUUAAGCAAUUUGCUUAUGCUCUGGACUUUUUUCCACUCUUAAAUGUUUGCAGGCAACUCCCUUACUCAGCGUUUGCUCAAACUACAAGUAGUUAAAGUUUCCAAAUGUUCUCCAUAAACACAUCCUUCCUCAGGCCCCUUAUUCUUUAUAUCACUCAACACUGGUUUCUUGGAGUCAGUCUGACACUGAUGUAUGAAGGAUUUGAUUUUGCUUUCCUUUUACAUCUGGCUAGUACAAGAAUAAUCCCACUGGAGCCAUUGGAAUCGUUGUAAGUGAGAAAAAAACCUGAUCAAGCCAACAGACUCGUCUGUGCAGCAGCUUUUCAGUCCAGGUAGCAGGAGCUUAAGACUCAGAAUGUCCAUCCUCAAAUUGAAAUAUCUCAUUUGCAGAGGUGACCACAGUUUUGAAGGCCUAAAUCUCCUCUCAUUGCUCCCUCAUAUCGUCCUCCUGUGCAAGGAAGUUUGUCUGUACACAACGAUGCAAAGGGAUGUAGUGAACAUGAAAAAAGAAAUGUGAAAAAUAGUAAUUAAAACAAACAAACCACAACACAAGAUCAACAGAGUGAAAACAGAAAUGUCAAGUAUUAGUUGCUGCAGCGAAGUGAGGAAUGUUAAGGGAAACUGUUUGGGGAUUUAUGUUCAAAAAAAUAAGACAACUUCCCAGACUAUUUCCUUUCAAAUCUCUCUGCAUUUUCCAUAAAUUCCAUGUGCCUGUGUGGUGCUCUCUGAUAACAUACAAAUCUGUGUGUAUAAACUGUUUUGAAAUGUUUGUAGAGUUUUAUCCAAAAAUAUGACUAUAUGUUUGUGUUUUAAUUGUCAGCAAUAGGAUAUUAGGCAAUAGCCACAUGCAUCAUGUCAGGGGCACUGGCUAAGUUUAGGUGGUACUAGCACAACCUCCCCCUUUCUGGCUGGAUCUCCAUAACAAAUAGUAACUGUAUUAUUUGAAGGAAGAACCUGCAAUCAAGCAGGAUCCAAGUAUUAUAGAUAACAGCACAGCCCCUGCUCUCAGUGACCGAGGUGCCAGUCCAGACAAAUCCACUGAAACCAGUAAAGCCACUUCAGAUUCAUACACCUACAACCAGGAGCAGAAAUUUGCUGAUUUCCAGGUCAGGCAUUAGAGUUUUUGCAGCUCUCUGAGUGGAGCAUCUCCCUUCUGAGGAAAGGCUGAGGGACCUGGGGCUCUUUCGUUUGGAGGAGACUGAGGGUGACCUCAUUAAUGGUUAUAAAUACAUAAAGGGUGAGUGUCAUGAGGAUGGAGCCAGGCUCUUCUUGGUGACAAUCAGUGAUAGGACAAGGGACAAUGGGUACAAACUGGGACACAGGAGGUUCUGCUUAAAUAUGAGAAGAAACUUCUUCACGGUGAGGGUGACAGAGCCUGGACCAGGCUGCCCGAGGGGGUUGUGGAGUCUCCUUCUCUGCAGACAUUCAAAAUCCACCUGGACACCAUCCUGUGUAACCUCAUCUGGGUGUUCCUGCUCCGGUGGGGGGAUUGGACUGGAUGAUCUUUUGAGGCCCCUUCUAAUCCCUGAUAUUCUGUGAUUCUCUGAUUUUUGGGUGGGGGGUUGGAACGACACUUUGCUUCAAUCAGUGUUGUUUGAAAUGUCUUUCAUUUAUUAGCAUUCUUGCUGAAGCCGAACAUUAGUUCCACUUUAUCAGGAAUAUAAUGCAGCUGCAUUUUCUGGAUGGGAACACCACCAAAAUAUGUUAACUAUAUAGUCGACAGCUAUGCCUUGUUUACUCUCAUGUGUAAAACCAUACAGAAACAAUCCUCUUAGGAAGUCUCUUCUUUUUCUCUAUCUGUGUGCAAAUAAAAACAAAUGGAGAGGC